AAGAGAGAGAGAGAGAGGAGGGAAAGGAGAAAAGCUGAACAGAACCAUGGGUUGAAUCUAGAUGGUUUGUCAGCAACAAGAGACGAGUCAAUGGCUCUUAAACACUUGCUAAAGAUGAAUCCAUUGAAGGUUUUGUGCUUGGUAAUUUCACUGAGAUUAAAAUACACCUGUAAAACCCAAACAACACUUUGUAACUCCAAGCUGCACCAGGGAAGACCUGCUACCUCAAAGCUCUGCAUACUUCUUUUGGUCAGGGGAGAGAGACCCGCAGGUAACCUGUCUUUCUCCAGUACCAGACUUCAUCAAAGCAAAGAGUUCCAUAUAUGCAGUGUGGAUUGGCUGUCGAUUCUGUGGCUGAGCAGUGUGCCAAUCUGCCCUCCUUUCAUCCCCCUCCUGCCCCAAGAAACAUCUCCCCAGUCAGAAGAGCACUCCCAGGAGGAGCAAAACAAGGAGGAGAGAAAGAGAGGAGCGGGAGCAGCACGGGAACAAAACUGCAGACCAGGUACCAUGAAUGAGCGGGGCGCUUGGCGGGCAGAAUUGUGUUUGUGCAGUGGGCAGCUCCAGUUCUCAUGCAGAACUUACUGGGCAUUACGCAUUACAACGUGGGAAUCGUUUGCUUCUGAUGCAGGCUGCCUCUCAGGAUGGCAGAGAGAGAUGUGACGGAAAACAGGAGUGAGAUAGGCAGUUUUGGUUCCUAUACUGACCUGACUGUAUGCUCCAUGCUCUCCUCCGGGGCUGCUGGCAGCUCUGGAACCCAAAAUGGCUUCUGAACAUCCCUCUGUUGCUGCAAGUACUGGAGCUGACAUGCUUGGGGCAGAGUGCUGCUCACUGGGACUGAUCGCAGAGAAAACCCUCUUGUUUGCAGGUGUGUGAGGUUACAUGGAGGAGGUUUGCAUGAAGGAGGCUUGCUUGGAGGAGGUUUAAAGCAAGGCUCAUUGAUGAGAGCUGGUUGUGGCAAGCGUCAGGAGGAGCCAUAGUUGGGUUGUUUCAUUAGGACUUUGAGGAUCAUUACUUUUCCUUCCAUUUGUCCAACUGAAAAUUCAUAGAGUUUUGGCUUUUUGUGGUUAAUCUGAGGAGGGUUGUGUUUUUUUAUUCUGAGAUAUUCCAGCAAAACAGAAGGACGCUGUAAGUUGUCCAGGACAAAUGAGAUAUGUAGAUGGCCACUGUCUUUUCUGAAGAAGCAGUGAUUUCACACAGGGAAGACCAUCCCAACAUGAAAAAACAAUCGCAAUUAUUCUUCUCCCGAAACAUAAAAUGAAACCUUUUGCCUUUUCAAAAUUACCAUUUCCAUUUAAAUUUUCCCCAGUGGCAGAUGACCGGCCAAAUCCAGCAUAAGCUAGCCAACAGCCCAUCAGCUGAGGGCACCAUUUAUUCUGCAAAUAAACUUUAUUCACUGGAGUAAAAAGAGCAACAGCAAAUCCCAACACUGUGUUCCUAAAAGUUGGGCUGCGGUCGGAUCUGCGGUACGUGCUUCUGCCAAUAUUUGCAUAGCAUUUGAAACAACAGAGACCGUUUGGAGCUAUCUGGGGAGCACCAGGGCAGGGUGCUGGGCAGAGCCAUGCAGGGACCCAGGCCGAGGUUUGUUUACCCCGCGGCUCAGUGCUCUCCAGACUGCUGCGGUCAGUGCUGCUCUCCUAAUGGAGAGCCUGCCACUUGUGCAUGCAAAGAAUCAUUUGGGUGUUAGUUUUGUUUGCCAAUACAAGCCGCCCAUUAGCUAUCUUAAUCCUCUUUCCUAACAGGCUUUAAAAAAAAAAAAAAAAGGGAAAACAGAAGGUCUCUCUCUCUCUCUCAAAUAUUGUUGUAGAGGAAAAAAAUGCCCUUCUCCUUUUCUUUUUCUUUUUUUUCUUUCUUCUAAAUGGAAAUGUCUUGCUUUAUUGUAGUUUUGCCUUCUGAAAGUUGAUGUAUUUUUCACUGAGGAGGCUGGAAACUGCUUGUGGAGGAUUUACAAAAGGAAUAAAACUCUGACUUGUUUCGAUGCUUUCACAGAAAAUGAAAGUGAAUGUCAGGAGCCGCUCUGGGAUAAACUUCCAGCAGAUAUGGGGUUAGAUGGGACCGGUUUGUGCUCAUCCUGCUCACUGCCUUCCCUUCCCGACAUUGUUUUGGAUGAAAUGCAAAAUCAGAUCCUGCAAGAUGUGAUCAUUUAGGGUACUGUGGCAUAUUUUGAAACAGUAGGGCUGUUAGCCCCAGCAUCUUGGCCAAAUUCCAGCCUGGAUAAUUACAUUCUGCCGGCCUAUAUUCCAGCCUGCAGUUCAAAUAGGGAAGAAAAAAAAAAAAAAAAAAAAAAGAAAAAAAAGAAAAAAAAAAAAGACUUAUCAUUUCUCCUCCAAGAAAUCCUGCUGUGAGAUGACUGAUGCUUUUCCACCCCAGAAGUAGCUGUGAUUCAGGAAACAUUGCCUCCAUGUUCCUCCACGUCUUACCCAUUGCUGUGAGGAAGUCUGUCUGGCUCCUUGGUGGGAACAAAGCACAGAGCUGACCGGGAGGGAGCUGCAUUGCCUUGCACAUCCCCUUCACUGCUCUGUGUCCCUCUUUGCAUGGAACCCUACUACACAGGGCCACGUCCUCACAGCCUGCAGCAGGUCUUUGUGCUGCCAGCAGCCAAGGGUGGGCUGGGGAGGACAUGAGGCACAGAGGGCAGGCCAGCCACGGUGGGAGAGGGAGGACUCACUUGACCCGUGCCUGUAAUUUGUAAAGAGCAUUUUUACACCAGAUCAAUGCUUUCCUCAGCAUUUUAAUGCACCCCAUUGGUGUCCUUAAACUCUAAUGAUGCAGUCUGUGAGAAGCUGCCAUUUAUUACCCACAGAUGGGGUGAUAAUUAUUGACAAGAUUGUAACUAAUAAUUAAACCCAUUUGCUCCUUUAAACAAGUUGGUGUGAAUUAUUUGCCGGGAGAGCUGUAGCAGGCCUGUGGUCACUCCUCCCCAUGGCUGAGAUGCAGUGCUGCCAGGAGCGGGCCCUGCAUGUAAGAUGAAACGUGGCUGUCCUGGGGACCAGACCAUCCCGGGGACCAUGCUGUCCCCUUGCAGCCCACACUCCAGCCUGCAGCAGAACCAAGCUGGUGUGGGGGCAGCACCAAGCUCCUGCCCAGCCCUAUCGUGGCCCUAUCAUGGCCAGGGGCAGCACUGCAGUGUCCACGUGGCUGUGGGGCAGUUGGGCAGAGGAUGAGGGUACGAGGUGGGGGGAAGCAGAGCACAGCAUCACAGUGCUCAGAAGGCCGCCCGGGGGAGCUGCCUUCCUCUGCUGUACGUUUGGAGGGAGGGUGUAAAUCUAAUCUCGGUGCUAGGGUCCAUUAGCAUUAGAGGGGAGUACUGUAUAUGCAUUCAUUCCCCGCUCUCACCCCUGGAUGACAGAGUACCCCCUCUGUUGUCUGCUUUAGCACACUGGGAAAGGCUACCCAUUAAUUCUGCAGCAGCAGUGGAUAAUGCUGUCGUAAGUCUUAGGUGCCUCUGAAUUUUGUGAGCAUUUUACAGUAAUAAAUACCCCACUCUUCUGCAUUUAAUUAGUUGUGUAUUACACAGUUGUUCCAUCUGUGCUCUGAUUUGGCUGUUUGCUCAUGGAGGUGGGCUGGUUUCUUGUGCUCCCGCUCAGCCCCAAGGAAGGAGACCAGGAUGUGGUAGAAGAGGUUUGUGGCAAGAGAGGGAGAGGUGCGAUUGUGAAGGUUUGUUGUACUGGAAGAGCAACCCUGAGCUGAGAAGAUGAAUGCAAAGCAACCAUGUUGCUAGAAAUAAGCUUCGGUACAUCCAUAAUGUUGAUGCAGUCUCACCCUCUGCAGUGCAAUGCAUGCAUGUCAAACUGCUCAGGGCUGGGUUUCUGAAGAGGUUACUGUGCUGUUAAAUGUUCUGGCAGCAGUAUUUGCCCUGUUCCUGCUCUCUCCCCUUCCACAUGUACCAUGUUGCACAGGCUAUGAAAUGACGAUACAAACAUGUCCACAAAAGCUCAUCUGCGUGUCUGACUUUGCUUUCAGCAUUUGUCGUACCCUUCUUCAGUGAAAAAACUAUGGGAAGACCUAAAGCCUCACCCUUGCUUGCUGCAUUACAUGAUCCCUCUUUGUGAAACUUCACCGAAGUCUUGCACCUGCAGGACACAUUUCACAAGGGCAAGCAAGCACACUGCUCUCCUAAAUCUGCAGGAGCCUGGGUUCAACCAGUGAAAAGUUGGGCUGCAAACUCCAGGUCCUGGGUGAGAAACAUCACGGCUGCAGGGCAGAGCUACUGCUCUUCUGUGAGGCUGAUCUGCUAAUUCAGAUCCCUCCGGGGAGUGCUGACAGGUUAACUUCUCCUGGCAGACUCAAUGUGCGUUUGGUAUUAUUUCUCCACGACUCUGACUUUAUGCCUUAAAAUAUCGCCUGUCAUCCCCCUGCAGCUUGCAGAAAGGUGGAAGAAAAUUGAAGUUGGCACAAAAAUCCCUCAGAGAGUGUGCUCUGGCUCGCUCAGGAAGGCAUGAUGCCACAAGGAUACCUGCCCUGGUCAGGUCUGCGUGGCUGGUGGAGCCCAUACUGUGCACAUCUGGUGGUGGCACCCAGGGAGGUGUGGGGACCAACCAUAGCCCCAUGGGGGUGUGCUCACCCUGCUGCCUGCAGCCAUCACUCAGGGCUCAGAGGGGCUAUUUACCCACUUAAAGCUAAUCUCAUGCAUAAUUCUUGGAGGGAUCAAGGCUGUGGGAGAAACCAAGAGAAGGCAGUGAGAAGGCAUAUGUCAAACAGGGCUGUGGUCGAGAGCUCUCUGAGGCUUAAACAUAACAUUUGAGAAAAUGAGUCCAUUUGUUUCAGAGGCAUCCUGAACAUUGGCAUGUAGUAAUUCCAUAAUGGAUCCAUUUAACCAGCCUUAUAACUGAAAUAUCCUUAGCAAAUAUUUCCUUUAAUAGCACUUAAAAAGGGAACGCAGGCAGAGAAAUUUUAAAGCACAGCUGCAUUAUUGCUGAGUUCUAGUUCUGAGGACUUUCAAAGUACCAAGCUAAUUUUUCUCCACAUUUGGCUCAAUAUUUAACAAAUCAAAUGAGAUCAGGAAGAAACCUGAGGUCAAUGUUUUUAACCUGAGUUGUUCGUUAAAUCAUCUCAGCUCUGCAGUAACAAAUACAGCAAGCGCAUGUUGCAGUGGAAGGUAAUUCAGAUAAUCCUCAGAAACUUUGCAAUAAGAUCAUCAUUCCAGAGAACAAGGCUGGAAAAGGCUGUUGGGAAGAAACCUUUCUGUGGGAAGUUCACAAAGAUGGGGCCUGGAAUUAGAAUAAAAGCCAGAUUUCAGCCUCAGCUGUAGUGAUUAACUGCCUUAACUUUAGUAAUCGUUAAUGAGCAUCUACAUGAGCCAAACCAAAUUGGCAUUUGCACAGAAGCAAGACAGGUUGCAUCCAGCCCGAAGCUGCUCAGAAAGAUGGAUGUAAGCCAUGCAGAGGAGGGGCAGCUCUCACCAAAGCCUUUUUCAGCCUUGUGGCAGCCACAGGCUGCCUGCUGGGUAGGAAAAGAGUAGGGACUGCAGCACUUAGGGCCAUCAGUGUUUGAAGGGAGUUCCUCAGGCACAGUUGGGUGCCCAUUUCCAUAGCAAACAGGAAAAUCAGAGCUUCUCUCUUCUCAGGGCCACCUGUCCUCCUGGGUCUGAGAGUGAGUGCAGUCCCUCGGGUCACCCCAGUAAUUGCUCCUUGCGAUUUAGCAGGUAGAUGUUAAUCGUGCUGUCCACAUCACACAGCCCCUCGCAGAUCACCAGCAAGGGCUCUCUAGGCCAUCGGUGGCCCACAGCCCUGUUUCAGAAGCAACGUGCUAUAAUAAUGUAUCCCUAACCAUGCUUUAUACCAAUAAGUAGGCUAUAACCCUGUCAAGGUGUGCUGGUGACUCUAUAAACCAUGAGACCUGAAUGGUCAAUGGUCGAGUGGUUUAAAGCUGUCACCAGAAUACUGAGAUAGCCUUAUAAGCCUUGUGCUGCAUGGCUGGGGAUACAUUAUUCACUAUAAUAUAUGGUAAGAAAUACCUGUGCAGGGUCUGAAAUGAACUGCUCUAGCCACUAGCCAGCAUGGCUAGUGAUCAGGGAAAUCCGUCAGCAUUUUUGUGUGCAACGGGAGGCAAAAAGACAGAGGCACCGAGGAGGGGAAGCUGCCUUCUCUGUGCAAAGAAAUUGCGUUUCCUGUAGGGGAUGGAGGGUGAGUACAAGCAAGCCGCAGUCUGAGAGCACAGACAGAGCCCCUCACUGCCCAGGACUGAAGGCCUUCAGACCCAUGCAGGCCCAUGUUCUGCAGCCACGAGCCCUAUCAGAUGGUGGGUGUGCUUUGUUCAUCCAGCUGGCAUGAACUGUGGCAAUUUUGCAUUCUUCCUAGCUGAGCAGCCCAUACCCUGCCUAGCUGGCUGGUGGUGGGUCAGGGUGUGUUGGGAGCUUUUCCAGUCUUUCUAUUAAGUAUAGUAUAGUACAGUAUAGUGUAUCAGUCAAGGUCUUUUGUGGCAUAUUCUAUUUGCUGAGCUCCAAGAACUCAAUGAAGAGGUUCACUAGCAUCCCCAUCAUAUUGCUGGGGAAAUCAAGGCAAAGUGCAGUGUUACCCAAGAUCACCAGACCAGGGGACGAGUCACUAGUUCUUGGAAACACGCAAAACUUCAGGGUCUUUCUUAAAGACCAGAAUUUUAAUGGACAGCUUUGCAAUUAAAAUCAGGGAAGGAGCUUGUGCCAGCUCAUACCCCACCACUGCAGAGCUCUCUCCUGCCAUGCUGUCAGCAAUAUGUGCAGCGACUGAUGUUUAUAACCGAUGAAAAGUGGCUACUGACGCUCAGCUAAGCCUCGUAUUUAAGACCCUCUGCAAGCAGAAGGCUUAGAGAAAGCAAAGGUGGGCUUUCUCUGUGAUGCCUUGUAACAAUUCAUGGCCAUCAUCUGCCUCCUGUAUGCAUGCACUAUGGAUCAUACUGGGAUGAGCUGUUUCACCUACCAUGAAUUUCUUCCAGUCUGCUCUUCUGUUUUUGGAGGAAUAACAUGGACUCAACUCAGAGCAGCUCAGCUAUGGCUCAUGGCCAGGCUAGGUGCAAUAUGUGCAAUUGUAGGGUAAGGGAGGAAGGGAAGGCAGAAGUAGGUCUGGAGGAUGCCCCAGAUCAAAUGUGGUAGCACAUGGAGGAGUGAGAAGAGCUUUGAAGAGGCUCUGGAGUGGUUUAGGACUAAAGAAGCCUCUGUCACCCACAACCUUGGCAGAUCAAAGACUUUCCCAUCCUGGCAGUUUAUGCCUCUCCAGCUGUAGGAGACAAAGUCCCUGAGAGCACGCCCAUGUGAGUGCCCUUUAGGGGCGGGGGAGAAACGAGGAGGGCUUGGGGGAUUUCAUUAGGAGAUGGGAGGGGAGGGAGGAAAGCCCUGGUCCUGAACAAUAGGCAGAGCUCAGAUCGCCUGGAAGGCUUGGCUGGUUUGUUUUAUUUAUUGCAUAGACAUACAUAUGUAUACAUACAUACGUGUAUGUAUGCACACGGACAUGUGUAUUGUUUUCCAUCUAUUUAUUGCCCUUUAUCAGGCAUGGACCAGGAGCAUCGCUUCUCAUCUCAGCGGCUGGCAGACAAUAGGGCUGCCGGGGAUAUGCUGAGAACGGGUACAGGGAGAGGGAAUGGGCUGCUGGGAUCAGUAGCUGGGAAACCAGGGAUGGGCUGGAGGAAUCCGGGGGUGUGAGCACGGGCUGGCCACCCCCGCACCCCCCUUGUUAUGUUAAGAGCCCGUCCACCAAGCAGGAGCCAUGCGGUGCAGGGGGAGCAGAGGGAUGGCUCUGAAUGCGGCCGCCCCGGCAUCCUUCUGUUCUCCAUAUGGGGACAUUGUCUGGCCUCAGGCUGGCAGCCCCCUCCCUCCACGUCGCCUCUCUUCCCCCACUGUGCACACGUCAAAUGUUGGUUUCCCUUUUGAUUAAAACCCUCGGAGCGGCCAGCGGGGUGACGGGCACCAGGAAUUUGUGAAAGAUGGAGGAGGAGGAGAAACAAGUUUGUGUUUGCCGAGCGGAAGCCACUUCCCUCCAUCCCCCCUCCCUCGGCCUCCCUCCCACCUCCUCUGGGCUGACUGUGGCUGGGGGCCAAGCAGGCGUGGGCGAACAGGGUGCUGUGGAGGACAGAUACCCAGAGGAAUUCACCCACCCCACCCCAGCCCAAACCUGCUGCCCUGACUGCAAGGUGCUACAUCCACCUGUAACCUUACUGCAGACCAAGAUGCUGCUCACAAAGGGUUUCCCUGCAACACCCACCUUGUGCAGCCCCAUUGCACAGCUAUGGAUAAGCUGGUGGGUUCUUAAACCAAAAAGGGCUCUCUGUCUCCCUCUGUCCAGCUCUUGGCUCUUAGUUCCUAAGCACUUAAACUUUCAAGUCCACGCUUUGCUUGUUUCCUGUGCUUUCCACCAGAAAGUUGUGCAAACUGCAUUAGAAAGUCUCAUCUCUAGUGAUUUUUUAUCUUUGAUAUUAGUGAAGAUAGAACUAAUGGCGUCGAGCAAUGUAAGGAAGAGGAAGAUUAAACAAAAUCUAUCCUCUGCAAAAACAAAGCAAUCAAUAGAACAUUAUCCUGCCGCGGUGCCUUUCAACUUACUUUGAUUUGUGAACUCCCAGAAAAGCUCCUGCAAAGGCUCAGCACCCCAGCAGGCAGCUCCCAAACUGCUGAAAUCACUUUUCCCACCUUCUUCACAGCAAGUCCCUGCUCUGCCAGGGAUCUGCAGAUCGCAGGCUGAAAAACGGCAUCUGCCAGGAUGCGAGUUCAAUACUUAAUAUAGCGGAUCUUACCGCUAUCACAAGCGGUUCUUGUGAUAUCCUCAGAGUUCUUACAUGGAGAACCCUUUGGGAAGCUCACACUUCUAGUCUCACACUUCAUCACUCUGCUCUCAUCUUCGGAGCCUAUCUGCUGUGGCAGAGAAAUACCGAGUGCUGCUGUUCACCAAACAUGGGGAAUGCGACAGAUUACAAAUGGGUGGGAAAAUUCUGGAUGCAUAGAUUUUCUUGUAGAAAUAAACAACAAAAGGGAUUUUUUUUCUUUAAAGGUACGUUAUUUUUUUCCUCCAGUAAUCAUAAAAAGAAAUGGUAGUUCAAACUCAAAACCAACUCAUGGUUUUAUUCUCUUUUGUUCUGUAUUUUUGGUUCUGCUUUGUGUUCUCUCUUUCAUUUUUAAAUCCCUUUGGCUGUAGAGAAGUAUUCCUUUUGGAGAGGAGAACGCUUGUUUUUAAACAAGGGUAUAGCAUAGGAAAGGGGGGGGAAUAGGACAAAAGAGAGUUUGGUGUUUAAGGUACAAAAUAUUUCCU